UAAUCUGCGAUAAGCGUCGGUAAGGUGAUAUGAACCGUUAUAACCGGCGAUUUCCGAAUGGGGAAACCCAGUGUGUUUCGACACACUAUCAUUAACUGAAUCCAUAGGUUAAUGAGGCGAACCGGGGGAACUGAAACAUCUAAGUACCCCGAGGAAAAGAAAUCAACCGAGAUUCCCCCAGUAGCGGCGAGCGAACGGGGAGGAGCCCAGAGCCUGAAUCAGUGUGUGUGUUAGUGGAAGCGUCUGGAAAGGCGCGCGAUACAGGGUGACAGCCCCGUACACAAAAAUGCACAUACUGUGAGCUCGAUGAGUAGGGCGGGACACGUGGUAUCCUGUCUGAAUAUGGGGGGACCAUCCUCCAAGGCUAAAUACUCCUGACUGACCGAUAGUGAACCAGUACCGUGAGGGAAAGGCGAAAAGAACCCCGGCGAGGGGAGUGAAAAAGAACCUGAAACCGUGUACGUACAAGCAGUGGGAGCCUCUUUUAUGGGGUGACUGCGUACCUUUUGUAUAAUGGGUCAGCGACUUAUAUUCUGUAGCAAGGUUAACCGAAUAGGGGAGCCGAAGGGAAACCGAGUCUUAACUGGGCGUUAAGUUGCAGGGUAUAGACCCGAAACCCGGUGAUCUAGCCAUGGGCAGGUUGAAGGUUGGGUAACACUAACUGGAGGACCGAACCGACUAAUGUUGAAAAAUUAGCGGAUGACUUGUGGCUGGGGGUGAAAGGCCAAUCAAACCGGGAGAUAGCUGGUUCUCCCCGAAAGCUAUUUAGGUAGCGCCUCGUGAAUUCAUCUCCGGGGGUAGAGCACUGUUUCGGCAAGGGGGUCAUCCCGACUUACCAACCCGAUGCAAACUGCGAAUACCGGAGAAUGUUAUCACGGGAGACACACGGCGGGUGCUAACGUCCGUCGUGAAGAGGGAAACAACCCAGACCGCCAGCUAAGGUCCCAAAGUCAUGGUUAAGUGGGAAACGAUGUGGGAAGGCCCAGACAGCCAGGAUGUUGGCUUAGAAGCAGCCAUCAUUUAAAGAAAGCGUAAUAGCUCACUGGUCGAGUCGGCCUGCGCGGAAGAUGUAACGGGGCUAAACCAUGCACCGAAGCUGCGGCAGCGACGCUUAUGCGUUGUUGGGUAGGGGAGCGUUCUGUAAGCCUGUGAAGGUGUACUGUGAGGUAUGCUGGAGGUAUCAGAAGUGCGAAUGCUGACAUAAGUAACGAUAAAGCGGGUGAAAAGCCCGCUCGCCGGAAGACCAAGGGUUCCUGUCCAACGUUAAUCGGGGCAGGGUGAGUCGACCCCUAAGGCGAGGCCGAAAGGCGUAGUCGAUGGGAAACAGGUUAAUAUUCCUGUACUUGGUGUUACUGCGAAGGGGGGACGGAGAAGGCUAUGUUGGCCGGGCGACGGUUGUCCCGGUUUAAGCGUGUAGGCUGGUUUUCCAGGCAAAUCCGGAAAAUCAAGGCUGAGGCGUGAUGACGAGGCACUACGGUGCUGAAGCAACAAAUGCCCUGCUUCCAGGAAAAGCCUCUAAGCAUCAGGUAACAUCAAAUCGUACCCCAAACCGACACAGGUGGUCAGGUAGAGAAUACCAAGGCGCUUGAGAGAACUCGGGUGAAGGAACUAGGCAAAAUGGUGCCGUAACUUCGGGAGAAGGCACGCUGAUAUGUAGGUGAAGCGACUUGCUCGUGGAGCUGAAAUCAGUCGAAGAUACCAGCUGGCUGCAACUGUUUAUUAAAAACACAGCACUGUGCAAACACGAAAGUGGACGUAUACGGUGUGACGCCUGCCCGGUGCCGGAAGGUUAAUUGAUGGGGUUAGCGGUAACGCGAAGCUCUUGAUCGAAGCCCCGGUAAACGGCGGCCGUAACUAUAACGGUCCUAAGGUAGCGAAAUUCCUUGUCGGGUAAGUUCCGACCUGCACGAAUGGCGUAAUGAUGGCCAGGCUGUCUCCACCCGAGACUCAGUGAAAUUGAACUCGCUGUGAAGAUGCAGUGUACCCGCGGCAAGACGGAAAGACCCCGUGAACCUUUACUAUAGCUUGACACUGAACAUUGAGCCUUGAUGUGUAGGAUAGGUGGGAGGCUUUGAAGUGUGG
rnacentral:rRNA from 1 species